rnacentral:rRNA from 1 species
AUUGAACGCUGGCGGCAGGCCUAACACAUGCAAGUCGAGCGAGCGGCGGACGGGUGAGUAAUGUAUGGGGACUGCCCGCUAGAGGGGGAUAACUACUGGAAACGGUGGCUAAUACCGCAUACUAUCGGAUAACCCAUAUGGGUUUAGCUAGUAGGUGGUGUAAAGGCUCACCGAGGCGACGAUCUCUAGCUGGUCGGAGAGGAUGAUCAGCCACACUGGGACUGAGACACGGCCCAGACCCCUACGGAGGGAGCAGGGGGGAUUAUUGCAAAAUGGGGGAAAGCCUGAGGCAGACAUGCCGGGUGUAUGAAGAAGGCCUAGGGUUGUAAAGUACUUUCAGCGGGGAGGCGUUACCCGAAGAAGAAGCACCGGCUAACUCCGUGCCAGCCGCCGCGGUAAUAC